rnacentral:rRNA from 1 species
GACGAACGCUGGCGGCGUGCUUAACACAUGCAAGUCGAACGGAAAGGCCCUGCUUUUGUGGGGUGCUCGAGUGGCGAACGGGUGAGUAACACGUGAGUAACCUGCCCUUGACUCUGGGAUAACUUCAGGAAACUGGGGCUAAUACCGGAUAGGAGCUCCUGCUGCAUGGUGGGGGUUGGAAAGUUUCGGCGGUUGGGGAUGGACUCGCGGCUUAUCAGCUUGUUGGUGGGGUAGUGGCUUACCAAGGCUUUGACGGGUAGCCGGCCUGAGAGGGUGACCGGCCACAUUGGGACUGAGAUACGGCCCAGACUCCUACGGGAGGCAGCAGUGGGGAAUAUUGCACAAUGGGCGGAAGCCUGAUGCAGCAACGCCGCGUGCGGGAUGACGGCCUUCGGGUUGUAAACCGCUUUCGCCUGUGACGAAGCGUGAGUGACGGUAAUGGGUAAAGAAGCACCGGCUAACUACGUGCCAGCAGCCGCGGUGAUACGUAGGGUGCGAGCGUUGUCCGGAUUUAUUGGGCGUAAAGGGCUCGUAGGUGGUUGAUCGCGUCGGAAGUGUAAUCUUGGGGCUUAACCCUGAGCGUGCUUUCGAUACGGGUUGACUUGAGGAAGGUAGGGGAGAAUGGAAUUCCUGGUGGAGCGGUGGAAUGCGCAGAUAUCAGGAGGAACACCAGUGGCGAAGGCGGUUCUCUGGGCCUUUCCUGACGCUGAGGAGCGAAAGCGUGGGGAGCGAACAGGCUUAGAUACCCUGGUAGUCCACGCUGUAAACGGUGGGUACUAGGUGUGGGGUCCAUUCCACGGGUUCCGUGCCGUAGCUAACGCUUUAAGUACCCCGCCUGGGGAGUACGGCCGCAAGGCUAAAACUCAAAGGAAUUGACGGGGCCCCGCACAAGCGGCGGAGCAUGCGGAUUAAUUCGAUGCAACGCGUAGAACCUUACCUGGGUUUGACAUGGAUCGGGAGUGCUCAGAGAUGGGUGUGCCUCUUUUGGGGUCGGUUCACAGGUGGUGCAUGGCUGUCGUCAGCUCGUGUCGUGAGAUGUUGGGUUAAGUCCCGCAACGAGCGCAACCCUUGUUCACUGUUGCCAGCACGUUAUGGUGGGGACUCAGUGGAGACCGCCGGGGUCAACUCGGAGGAAGAUGGGGGUGACGUCAAGUCAUCAUGCCCCUUAUGUCCAGGGCUUCACGCAUGCUACAAUGGCUGGUACAGAGAGUGGCGAGCCUGUGAGGGUGAGCGAAUCUCGGAAAGCCGGUCUCAGUUCGGAUUGGGGUCUGCAACUCGACCUCAUGAAGUCGGAGUCGCUAGUAAUCGCAGAUCAGCAACGCUGCGGUGAAUACGUUCCCGGG